ACAGAGGGCGCGAGCGUUGUCCGGAAUCACUGGGCGUAAAGGGCGCGUAGGUGGCGGCAUAAGGCCGCGGUGAAAGUUCGGGGCUCAACCCUGAAUCGGCCGCGGCGACUGUGUCGCUUGGGCACUGUAGAGGCAGAUGGAAUUCCGGGUGUAGCGGUGGAAUGCGUAGAGAUCCGGAAGAACAUCGGUGGCGAAAGCGCUCUACUGGACCACAACUGACACUCAGGGACGAAAGCUAGGGGAGCGAAUGGGA
rnacentral:rRNA from 1 species